rnacentral:misc_RNA from 1 species
UACGAAAGGGGCUAGCGUUGUUCGGAAUUACUGGGCGUAAAGCGCACGUAGGCGGCUUUGUAAGUUGGGGGUGAAAUCCCGGGGCUCAACUCCGGAACUGCCUCCAAAACUACAUGGCUAGAGGAUGUGAGAGGAUAGUGGAAUUCCGAGUGUAGAGGUGAAAUUCGUAGAUAUUCGGAAGAACACCAGUGGCGAAGGCGACUGUCUGGCACAUUUCUGACGCUGAGGUGCGAAAGCGUGGGGAGCAAACAGG